rnacentral:rRNA from 1 species
GACGAACGCUGGCGGCGUGCCUAAUACAUGCAAGUAGGACGCAGUUGGGAACGGGUGAGUAACGCGUAGGUCACUACCUAUUAGAGGGUGCUAACUACUGGAAACGAUAGCUAAUACCGUCUACUAGUAGAUGGACCUGCGUUGUAUUAGCUAGUAGGUAGGGUAAUGGCCUACCUAGGCAACGAUACAUAGCCGACCUGAGAGGGUGAACGGCCACACAGGGAAUGAGGAAAGGCCCAGACUCCUAACGGGGGCAGGAGGAGGGAAACUUUGGCAAAUGGGGGAACGCCGACCGAGCAAAGGCGGCGGAGAGAAAAAGGUUUUCGGAUCGUAAAGCUCUGUUGUGAAGGAAGCGGUACUUAACCAGAAAGGGACGGCUAACUACGUGCCAGCAGCCGCGGUAAUAC